rnacentral:rRNA from 1 species
AGUGAACGCUGGCGGUAGGCCUAACACAUGCAAGUCGAACGGCAGUACAGUAAGGGCUUGCUCUUACGGGUGGCGAGUGGCGGACGGGUGAGGAAUACAUCGGAAUCUACUUUUUCGUGGGGGAUAACGUAGGGAAACUUACGCUAAUACCGCAUACGACCUACGGGUGAAAGCAGGGGAUCUUCGGACCUUGCGCGAUUGAAUGAGCCGAUGUCGGAUUAGCUAGUUGGCGGGGUAAAGGCCCACCAAGGCGACGAUCCGUAGCUGGUCUGAGAGGAUGAUCAGCCACACUGGAACUGAGACACGGUCCAGACUCCUACGGGAGGCAGCAGUGGGGAAUAUUGGACAAUGGGCGCAAGCCUGAUCCAGCCAUACCGCGUGGGUGAAGAAGGCCUUCGGGUUGUAAAGCCCUUUUGUUGGGAAAGAAAAGCAGCAGGUUAAUACCCCGCUGUUCUGACGGUACCCAAAGAAUAAGCACCGGCUAACUUCGUG